rnacentral:rRNA from 1 species
CCUACGGGUGGCAGCAGUGAGGAAUAUUGGUCAAUGGACGAGAGUCUGAACCAGCCAAGUAGCGUGAAGGAUGACUGCCCUAUGGGUUGUAAACUUCUUUUAUAUGGGAAUAAAACGUUCCACGUGUGGGAUUUUGUAUGUACCAUAUGAAUAAGGAUCGGCUAACUCCGUGCCAGCAGCCGCGGUAAUACGGAGGAUCCGAGCGUUAUCCGGAUUUAUUGGGUUUAAAGGGAGCGUAGGUGGAUUGUUAAGUCAGUUGUGAAAGUUUGCGGCUCAACCGUAAAAUUGCAGUUGAAACUGGCAGUCUUGAGUACAGUAGAGGUAGGCGGAAUUCGUGGUGUAGCGGUGAAAUGCUUAGAUAUCACGAAGAACUCCGAUAGCGAAGGCAGUUCACUGGACUGCAACUGACACUGAGGCUCGAGAGUGUGGGUAUCAAACAGGAUUAGAUACCCGAGUAGUC